GCCCAACUAGUCCUGGUAUGCCUGGGGCUUCCCGGGUUUUAGCACUGAAAGGCCCACGUCCCGGACGAACCGGGACAGUUGGUCCCCCUCCGUGAGCAAACUUGCUCCUCCGCCCGGAGGGGAGAAGGCGGGGCCGAUGGGCCCCACCCCAGCGCGCAGGGCCUUCAGCCAUUGACCGAGAGCGGGACAGAGCACCCGGGCGAGCUCUGCCGGGCAACCCGAGCCCGAUUCUCAGCCGCUGCCCAGAGCCUCUCAGCCUCAGGCCCCUCCCUGGCACUGCCUUUCCCAGACCCGCUUCUUCCUGGAAAAUCAAGGCCAAGGCUGCCAUCUUGAGUCAGAGGAUCCACUGGGUGGGAAGCACCUGCCACCUGCACCCAGGGCUUCUCUCCGGAUGCAGGGCUUCCCCCAGGGAGGAAAAAAAGGAAAGAAAGAAGGAGGGAAGGAGAUUGAGCUGAGCUGGAGAGUGUGCCUGGCAAAACCUGAGCCCCAAGCAUUUCUGCCCUGAUUGGAUCCUUGUCACUAACCAAGCUUAUUCCAAGCUUGGGACCUUUACACCGUCCUCUGCCUGGAAUCCCCAAGAUGGAUGCACAGCUGGCUCCUUCCAAUCAUCGUUCCAGUCUCACUUCAUGCGUCACCUCAGGGAGGUGACCUGAUCACCAUCAGUAAGUGCCCACCCGUCUCAGUCCUCUCGACCUCACUCCCUGCUUCAUUUUCUUCACGGCAUUAAUCACCACCUGACAUAAUGUGCUGAUCCAUUUGUUCAUUGUUUGCUAUCCCUGCCAGAAUGGCAGCUUCUCUGGGGGCAGGGGUUUAUGUCUGUUUUGUUCACCAUGAUGUCCACAGGACCUCGGACAGUGUAGGUGCUCAAUAAGGAAUUGGUUAGAUGAAUUAAAAUAUCUCCACACUACACCUGGCGGUUCCCACGCUGAGCAUACUCCCUGCACCCACCCGGGGCUCCUAGGGACGUCACACCCUGGGGAGGUGGGUAGGAAUUUUGCCCAAACCGUGCCUGCGCAAAUCAUCAACAUGGAGGUGCUGUCGAGCUGAGAGGAGCCUCUGGUGACCUGGGGUAGGGGGCAGGCCCAUAGUCCCUCCAGAGAGGGUUGCCCUGCCUCCCCACCUCCUGGGGCCCUAAAAGUGGCAGAAAUGGAGGGGCUCUCUGAAUUCCCAGAUGCCCACCCUGGCCCUGCGGUGAACAAUUGCAUUCGUUUAUGGUUUAUCCUUCCUGUGUUUCUUUUUUGCAACGAACAGAUAUAUAUCUAUAUUCUUAUUUCUUCUUUAUUAUCAAAAGAU